rnacentral:lncRNA from 1 species
CCAAAACAUAGCCAUGUAAUCUAAUUAAGACAUGAGUGAGUUGUGCAGCUAUAGGAGGACAUAGGAUAGAGAAGGGCAGGCACUCUUGUUUGAACAAGGAACCUGAGCAAAGACACAGGAGGGGAAUGUUCCUGGUAAAUUUGUAAAUCGCUGGGAAUUAUGGCAGCACAGCGUGCUUAUGGGAGGCUAAUAGUACAUUAGGCUGGAGAGGUGAGUCCUAGAACCACAGCCUCUUUCUAUCCUCUUUACACUCAUGUCAUCCCCUACCCCAUGUAACCCCAUUUUCUCAGACCCAUCAAAAUUUUCUGUAACUUGGGGAAUAGGUAUGGGGUUUGGAGUAGGGGAGAAAAUGUGGCCCCACUUGGAUCACGAGGCCCCCACUUGAACGUGUGCUUGACUUGGAACAUAGAGCGCCAAGGACUCAUGGCCUUUGUGCCUUGGCCUUCUUUUUGGGUGGGGCCUGGAGUGGUGGGACUUGGAGGGUCAAGGGGAUGGCCUGAGCUGCACUCCCUCACCCACUGUCGCAGGAGGAGAAGUCUGUGGUGAGUGGCUGUGAUGGAAUCUCUGCUUGUUUGUUCCUCUCCGAUGAUACACUCUUUCUUACUGCCUUCGACGGGCUCCUGGAGCUCUGGGACCUGCAGCAUGGUUGUCGGGUGCUGCAGACUAAGGCUCACCAGUACCAAAUCACUGGCUGCUGCCUGAGCCCAGACUGCCGGCUGCUAGCCACCGUGUGCUUGGGAGGAUGCCUAAAGGUAAGACUUGGGGUCUGCAGUGGUCAGAGUGGCCCUGAGCCAUGACUCACCCUCGUGAAUUUGUUCUCUCAGUGCGGCAGAGGCUGCUGACUCCCUGGCCAGAGAAGGCCUUCCCUGCUGAGGGCAGGGUAACUGGACAAGGUUGCUCCUGGAGGUCUGGGACUGAGAAGUUCAGGCAUCUCUGUUCAGCAUCCUGAUUCCUCCUCUCUCUCCCUCAGCUGUGGGACACAGUCCGUGGGCAGCUGGCCUUCCAGCACACCUACCCCAAGUCCCUGAACUGUGUUGCCUUCCACCCAGAGGGGCAGGUAAUAGCCACAGGCAGCUGGGCUGGCAGCAUCAGCUUCUUCCAGGUGGAUGGGCUCAAAGUCACCAAGGACCUGGGGGCACCCGGAGCCUCUAUCCGUACCUUGGCCUUCAAUGUGCCUGGGGGGGUUGUGGCUGUGGGCCGGCUGGACAGUAUGGUGGAGCUGUGGGCCUGGCGAGAAGGGGCACGGCUGGCUGCCUUCCCUGCCCACCAUGGCUUUGUUGCUGCUGCGCUUUUCCUGCAUGCGGGUUGCCAGUUACUGACGGCUGGAGAGGAUG